AUCGGACGCUGGCGGCAUGCCUUACACAUGCAAGUCGAACGGUAACAGGUCUUCGGAUGCUGACGAGUGGCGAACGGGUGAGUAAUACAUCGGAACGUGCCUAGUAGUGGGGGAUAACUACUCGAAAGAGUGGCUAAUACCGCAUGAGAUCUACGGAUGAAAGCAGGGGAUCGCAAGACCUUGUGCUACUAGAGCGGCCGAUGGCAGAUUAGGUAGUUGGUGGGAUAAAAGCUUACCAAGCCGACGAUCUGUAGCUGGUCUGAGAGGACGAUCAGCCACACUGGGACUGAGACACGGCCCAGACUCCUACGGGAGGCAGCAGUGGGGAAUUUUGGACAAUGGGCGCAAGCCUGAUCCAGCAAUGCCGCGUGCAGGAUGAAGGCCUUCGGGUUGUAAACUGCUUUUGUACGGAACGAAAAGACCUGGGUUAAUACCCUGGGGUCAUGACGGUACCGUAAGAAUAAGCACCGGCUAACUACGUGCCAGCCGCCGCCGUAAGAC
rnacentral:rRNA from 1 species